rnacentral:rRNA from 1 species
UACGAAGAGGGCUAGCGUUGUUCGGAAUUACUGGGCGUAAAGCGCGCGCAGGCGGCUAUCCAAGUCAGUGGUGAAAGCCCGGAGCUCAACUCCGGAACUGCCAUUGAAACUGUUUAGCUUGAGGAUGAGAGAGGUGAGUGGAAUUCCCAGUGUAGAGGUGAAAUUCGUAGAUAUUGGGAAGAACACCGGUGGCGAAGGCGGCUCACUGGCUCAUUACUGACGCUCAGGCGCGAUAGCGUGGGGAUCAAACAGG